rnacentral:misc_RNA from 1 species
AGCAGUUGGAGAGAUUGCGAAGGCGGCAAUCAUCCACUCCUCGCCCUGCAAUGGAUAUGGACAAGGACAGACCAAUGGUACAAGUGAAGAUUGAAAACCCAUCAGAAUUGCCAAUGGAUGGAAAUGCCUUCAAUGCCAUCCACUCCAGACAUCCACAAUUGCAGUACCGUCAGCAACAACUUGCUGCAAUUUCAAAUCUCCAAGCACAAUCUAGCAAUCAAUUUAGGCAGUUGACAUCCAUGCAAGUUCCUCAAAUGCAGACACCGAACAUGAGCAUUGCUAGGGCUCCACCAGUGAAGGUUGAAGGCUUUCAGGAAUUGAUGGGUGGGGAUGCUUCCGUAAGACAUGACUCCGAGGAAAAUAAGCUAACCUCUCCAUCGAGUAAAUAGCUUUGCCACCUGAGCAUACUUUCCACCACAAUUCUGUUGUCCUUUUGUUGUUUACAGAAAUGUUUAAUUUGUAUAUAUGUUAAUUUAUACUUUUCCGUAGGGUAUUUAUAGUUUUGA